rfam:Pan troglodytes isolate Yerkes chimp pedigree #C0471 (Clint) chromosome 17, whole genome shotgun sequence.
AUUCUUUUGCUGUUCGUAAGCAUAAGGAUCAGGUAUUCAUGGUCAUGUGUAAGACGUGCCUCCCUCCAACCUUGUUACGAUGUGGACGUCAGCACAUACCCAUUUGAUG